rfam:Loxodonta africana unplaced genomic scaffold scaffold_82, whole genome shotgun sequence.
UGGCAUAGUGGUUAGGCACUCGGCUGCUAACUGAAAGGUUGGUGGUUUGAAUCCACC